rnacentral:lncRNA from 1 species
GGACCCAAGAGGAAGAAACUCUUGCUAGUGGAGGUCAUUACCAGCUGCUUAAGGAGCACUGACCUGUCUCAAGAAGGAAGAUAUUUUCUGCUGAGAAACGCCAAGAUAUUUUCCCUCAUUCCUCACUCUAUCACCAUGACACCAAAUUGCUGCUCUGAAGUGACUCUUACCACAGAAAGCAAUGUGCUAAAGCCAUGGUGGAUAUCCCCUUCUCAAAUUGUUCUUCAGCUUCAAAUAAUUAUUUCCACUAGAAAACUCCUUUUGAAAGAGCAGCAAAUCACCCUUACACAAAAGAAUACAGCGUGUAAUGCCUUCCGCAGCAGAAUCCCAGAAGCUUUGCUUUGUAGCAUUGGAUGGCUGAACAAUAGACUUCAAUUGCAGCGGAAACAUGGAACAGAUUUUACAGACCCUAAAAGGUGCUUUCAGGUAAGAGCUACAAUUAUACAUGAGCAGAAGCCACAACCGAGACAGCAGGAGAGAAAAGCUGCCAAGAGUAGAGAAAAUAUGUAGGAAAGAAUAAUGAUAUCUGAGAUAAAGUUAUAGAAGGAAAGCAAACGGAAUCAAGCAUUUAAAAAUGUACACCAGUGCACAUUUCAAGUUUUGAAAUGUAAAGACAAGGGUAGAGAUGGUUAGAAUUAGGCUUCAAACUCACUUUUCUAUCAGUCUUAAAUAUGAAACAAGCCCUGAUCCAACUUUGUUAAAUUUUUUUCGGUAUGCCAGAUGUUAUAUUUUUAAAUAAUUUCAACCAGCAUUAAAGAUUUGUUUUGAUGAUUUUCCUAAAGCAAAGGAAGAUUGGCCCAAAGAUGAAUUGGUACCACUUCUAUAAAUAAAUAUCUGUGAGAAAAGUUUGAAUGCCCUUUC